AUGAGGAUACUUUGUUGGAAUUGUCAUGGGAUUGGCGAUCCUGCGACGGUCAAGGAGCUCCGUGAUCUAGUGGAGGCUUGCGCGCCGGCGGUGCUUUGCAUAGUGGAGACACAAAUCGCGAAGUGUCGUGUGGAAGGCUUGGCGAGCAAUUUAGGUUUUACAGGUAGAUUUGGAGUUGAUAGUAGAGGUAGAAGUGGUGGGCUUUGCUUAUUUUGGAGGAAUAAUGUAGUUCUUGAAAUAAAAACUUAUUCUCAGUAUCAUAUUGACUCGGUGGUUAAUGAACCGGGCAAGGAAGCGUGGAGGUUAUCUGUCUUCUAUGGUGCAGCGAGCAGGAACAUGAGGUAUAAAACAUGGGAUACUAUGAAAAUCUUGCUAGGAGAAAAUGAUCUUCCUUGGGUCUGCAUGGGAGACUUUAACGAGAUAUUGCGGCAGGAAGAGCAGAUGGGACCCAACGAGAGGGACAGUGCACAAAUAGAAGGAUUCAGGGAGGCAGUGGAUGUGUGUCAGCUAGCUGACCUGGGCUACAAAGGUCUAGACUGGACGUUUGAGAAAAGAGUUGCUGGGGGGGGGGAGUAUUGUAGAGUCCGACUUGACCGUGCCCUAGCUACGGCUAGUUGGUAG
rnacentral:rRNA from 1 species